rnacentral:misc_RNA from 1 species
UCAUCAUAGGGAAGUUCUUUAUACUUCACAAAAUACUCUUUCUCAUUCUCAUCUCCCCUGCAAGCAAGGAUCCGGUCAACAGUAGUCCACUCGGGCCGAAUAGCAACAAAGUCAUCCUCAGAGUUAUUGUUUGAUUCCAUUUGACGAUGGAAGUUGUUGACUUUAGUCCUCAGACGAGGAUUUGACUUGAAAGCCUUUAAGAACUCUUUCUCUAGUACCCAAGUGCAGUGCAGAUAAGAUAAUCCCUUCCACUUCACAAGAUACUGUUUCACAAAAAUUUGCUUCG